GAUGACUCUCGGCAACGGAUAUCUUGGCUCUUGCAUCGAUGAAGAACGCAGCGAAAUGUGAUAAGUGGUGUGAAUUGCAGAAUCCCGUGAACCAUCGAGUCUUUGAACGCAAGUUGCGCCUGAGGCCAUCAGGCUAAGGGCACGCCUGCCUGGGCGUCGUGU
rnacentral:rRNA from 2 species